UAAUCUACUUGGUGUUGUUUGGCAGGAAACCAGAGGAAGCCGUUGAGCAUCACCAUGGUGAUCCCGCUGGACUUCAGCAACCAUGUAUGCAUGGUACUAGAGCAAUUGUGUUGUUUAAAUGUAAAACCUGCUGCCGCCAUCUGUGAUGAUGCCUAUGUCGACCGAAAGACGGGAGAUCCUCUUGCGGUCAAGGAACUGGUGCAUCCCAGCAAGUAAAGGGCGUGUCCAUGGAAGCCAUGUCUCUCUCUAGGCGACAACAUCGGAGCUCUGGUACAUGUAUAUGAGGCUCUUCCUUGGUCACUUGACUCAACAAAGGCG